rnacentral:rRNA from 1 species
GAUGAACGCUAGCGGGAGGCCUAACACAUGCAAGCCGAGCGGUAUUUCUUCUUCGGGAGAGAGAGAGCGGCGUACGGGUGCGGAACACGUGUGCAACCUGCCUUUAUCUAGAGGAUAGCCUUUCGAAAGGAAGAUUAAUACUCUAUAAUAUAUUAAUUGGCAUCAAUUGAUAUUGAAAACUCCGGUGGAUAGAGAUGGGCACGCACAAGAUUAGCUAGUUGGUGAGGUAACGGCUCACCAAGGCAAUGAUCUUUAGGGGGCCUGAGAGGGUGAUCCCCCACACUGGUACUGAGACACGGACCAGACUCCUACGGGAGGCAGCAGUGAGGAAUAUUGGUCAAUGGGUGCAAGCCUGAACCAGCCAUCCCGCGUGAAGGAUUAAGGUCCUAUGGAUUGUAAACUUCUUUUGUAUAGGAUAAACUUACCCCCGUGAGGGUAGCUGAAGGUACUAUACGAAUAAGCACCGGCUAACUCCGUGCCAGCAGCCGCCGUAA